AUUCCAUGAUGGGGACAUUCUAGGAUGCAGUCUUGAAAGCGCUCCCAUGCUUCUGGAACAGAUUCAUCAUUUUGUUGCUGAAAACUUGUAAUCUUCCCACGGAGAGC
rnacentral:snoRNA from 1 species